rnacentral:rRNA from 1 species
AGAACGAACGCUGGCGGCAUGCCUAAUACAUGCAAGUCGAACGAACUCUUCGGAGUUAGUGGCGCACGGGUGCGUAACGCGUGGGAAUCUGCCCCUUGGUUCGGAAUAACAGUUGGAAACGACUGCUAAUACCGGAUGAUGACGAAAGUCCAAAGAUUUAUCGCCAAGGGAUGAGCCCGCGUAGGAUUAGCUAGUUGGUGAGGUAAAGGCUCACCAAGGCAACGAUCCUUAGCUGGUCUGAGAGGAUGAUCAGCCACACUGGGACUGAGACACGGCCCAGACUCCUACGGGAGGCAGCAGUAGGGAAUAGUUGGACAAUGGGC